AUAUCUCUUGGCCCAAAAUAUUAUUGAGCACCUAAUUGUUGUGCUGCUCUAGAGAAUGUUCUGUAGAUUCUAUCUUGGCUUGCUUUCUAGUUGCAUUAAUCAUAUAUUUACCAGUUGGCAACUACUUUAGUGGCAUCCAUGGCUUGUGUUUUUUGAGCCUGCUAUUUUGUUGUACUGUAUCACUGACAAUCUAAUGAGAGAUUAUGCACGAAAUUAUCUCUGUAUUUUCAGGAUGUUGCGUCCAAAAUAAUGGCCUUUUCUCAACAAGGCCCGCACACUACAUGCAUAAUUUCAGCAAACGACGCUCUGUGCACGGCGACACUGCGUCAACCAGCAACCUCUGGUGGGAUAGUGACAUAUGAGAUAUUGGAUGAUCAAGAUGUCUUCUUUGCCAAUUUGCUAGGUGGCUGUCUUGGUUGCAUUGUCAAAUCUGCAACUCGAGCUAAGGGAGAUAUGGGGCUGCAGCGACAAAGGCAAAGCUGUUGCCUGUGCUUUGUCCAAUGUUACUCCUUUUAGUAAAUGUUUAGCUAGUACUCUCAGUUUUGUGGUUGUGCAAAGAGUUUGUUAUGUUGAUGCCAAAUAUUUGGAGAAGAUUUGGGUAGAUGGGUGCCAAAAGUCUACGCGUCUUGUGUACUUUGUUGUUAUGUUGAUGCAACACUAGGAUAUAUUUGUAUUUAGUGGAUUCAUGUUGGACUACUAAUAAUAUAUAUAAUCGUGUGUAUUAGGUCA